UGAUAGUCGUCAACGGUUAUCAACGGCUACUGCCGCGGAGAAAAGCUGCUUUGUGCAGCAGCGUUCUCGUUGACUGUACAUGUCUACGUUAGUAAUAUUUUGUAUUUCGAAGCAAAGCAAGAAAAAAAAAUGCAGUUUUUCUCACGAGUGAAGAUCUUCAGGCCAAAAAGUCAGGACAUCAAUUCUGCAGAGCAGCAGGAGUCCAUUACAAUUUCACCUCUUGAGACUGUUGGUGUGAAGUUUACCAGUUUCUAGCAGCUGGUGGAGAAAUGAACCUGCGCUUCCCCCACAUGUGCACCGCCCGCAUAAUGAGAGACCCUCCGGCUUUUUCUGCAGCCGCGAUGAACGAAAGAAUGAAUGCUCACCAAAUCCAGCCAAACGUGAGCUGAGAACUCCCACUCUACGAGGCGUGAGAAGUCCUGAUGUGCUCUUUUGUGAAAAUACCCGUUAACCCUUGAACGUUUUCGGCGUCGCUGGCGACAUCUCAGGUGUUAACAGAGCCAGCAGGGUGACGGUGAGGGCCCCCGGCAGGCCCCAGGCCACAGCAUGGAAGAGGAGAGCCUUCUUCUCUAUGGCCUCACUGCCCCAUUUAGGCACAGCAGCCAGGAACCAAGUAAUGGAAGCCCAGGAAGAAGACCAGGGACACCAUGACGUAACAGACGGCGUAGAAGAUGAUUGGUCGCUCAGGAUACCUGAACCUGUUUGGGAACAGAACUCUGUGAUUGUCUCCAAUAAAUACGUACAGAAAACUUUACA